CUUUUUUUGUUAGUUUGAAUAGGUAAGGCAGCCCAAUGCACGAAGUUUAUUCAAUGGGAAGGGAUAAAUGUAUGCAGCCUUGCCUACUUGGAUGAUGAUGAUGAUUUAGUAAGAGAGAAAGGAGAGGAGAAAAAUGGGUUUUGUUUGUAGAGAUUUCCCUUUUUUUGGUUUCAUAGAUGCUCUUUAAAAUUAUGAUAUCAUCUUUUUCCAUCGCCAUCUCAAAGUCAAAGUAAAAGAAGUGGUCAAUUUGUAUAAUUUAUCUGAAACGUGGAAGAAGUUUUUGGAAAAGUCAAAUUUCAGAUGAAGUUAAAAGAGGGAAAAUCUGUGGAGCUACCGAUCGAGGAAGUAACCGGCUAUUCUGGGUUUACUCUUAUGGCUGUAUUUUAGCGGACAGCAAGGAAACCUCAUAUUCAUUCUCUUUCGUUCGUCCACGCUUUGCGGGAUUUUUUUUUUUUUUUCUUCUCUCCAACCAAUGGUUUCAUUACCUUUCUCGAUUUUCUUUCUCAUUAGCUUAUCUAUCCUUCCUUUUGAUUUCUUUUUUAAUUUUCUUUUGAUAACCCCAUUUUCUUAAUGGAUCUAAGUCGUCGUUAAAACUCCUACCUCUUUGUCUUUUAAUCAUUUUCAAAGUGUUGAUGUUAGUCGCAGUAGAUAGGCUGAUGAUCUUUGGUGGCAAUUUCUUUUAAAAGGAUGUGGGGCUUAAAGGACAAAAGCAUACACUCUUUAGAUAUUGGAAAAAUCCUCUCAAGGAGCAAGCCUGGUAUUAAUCAUGAUAAACUUGCAGAAACUCUACAAUUUCAAGGAGCAGAAAAAUCUAAAGACAUUUUGAAAUCAUAAGUUUGACAAGGGAAGAAAUAAUGACGGCCACAGUGGAGGUUGCAACAGAGAACAAGGAUGAAGAAAAGAAAAACGUUUUGGUUGGCAUACGAAUGGAUAGAUAUGGUCGAGACUUGAUUAAUUGGGCCCUUAUUAAAGUUUCUGAACCAAGGGAUCGCAUAGUUGCAGUCAAUAUUUGUCGAGAAUCUGAUAAUGAAUCUGGUUCAAAAGAGCACUCCUCAAUGGCUGAUUAUUUAAAAGCUUGCCAAGGAUUGUGUAAUGUGAAGCAGGCAUGUUAUAACAUGAUUUUCACCAUUAUAUUCUUCUAACUAUAUUCUGGUUUAAUUAUUUGUUUAGUUCUAAACUUGCACUCGGGUUUUAGGUAGAUCUUACUGGCUAUAUCUCACGGGGAAAUUCUGUAAGGAAGGCUUUGGUGAGGGAGGCAAAAAAAUGUACUGCCAUUACAGUCGUUGUGGGAGUUAGCAGGCAACAUAGUCUAGGGUAAUUUAUUGAGCUAUAGACCAUGGUCUUAACAAAGUAC